rnacentral:tRNA from 1 species
AGACGUAUAGUUCAGAGGUAGAGUGUGUGCUUAGAAUGCACGAGGUCCUAGGUUUAAUCCCCAGUACCUCUG